GCCUGUGGUGUGGUGGAGGUUCUUGGCAGUCUCAAGGAACCAGGCAAGGGGGUCGUUAACCUUCUGACGCCGCUCGGGCCUGGUCAGCGUUCCAAGGUCGCUUUCCUGUGGCCUUAGCCUUGGGAAUGAGGCUGUUGAGUUAACUUUAGCUCCUUGUGGCCGUCCAGGCGGCACUGUCUGCCACAGGGGUUACGGGACCGCGCUUUCGUAAUUUCCUAAGUUUCUGAGGAGAUGAGAGGGUCGAGACUGUCCCUGUAAGCAGAAUGAAGACCAAAAGACAUUCAGAAAGGAGAACAGACAAAAGAGAAGUGAUAGUGAACAAGUGCUAGAAAUACAAGACAGAAACAAGAUUUGGGAAAAGUUUGGGACAGAUGGAAUCUAUCAUUCGAUAAAUAAUGUCAAAUGAUCCAAAAGUCUCUGGAGUCCUCUGUGUGACCUUCGAGGACCCAUCAACCUGAAAACAGAGCAGGAUGCAGGUGUUUCAACCAUGGAUGCCAUAGUGAUGCUGUGCUCUUCCUCUCCCCUGCCCUGCCCGCAUGAGGAAGAGUCAACGCUGGAUGGAGCCUGAGUGUAGGGAAGGAUUUUCUCAUUAUUUGAAAGCCCAUGAAGAUCUCUAGACUACCAGAGGCCUUGGAACUGACUGUCCUCACUCCUGUUCCCUGUGGAGAAUACCAGGAUCUAACCCGCCCCAUGGUCAACUAAGCCUGUCCAUGCAGAACAGUCGAACAACUUCAGGAGAAGCUGGUUAUUUGGGCCAUCUGGAUGUUUCACCUGAAGAGCAGCCAGAUCAACUUGGCUGAGGUCCAUCUGAGCAUAACACAUCAGCUGACUGGGCCAAGCAAAUCCUUCAGUUCAAUCCUUUACUGAAAGAAGUGGAGUCACAUCCGCAGGCAGACUGACAGAAGAAGAGGACGACAAAGAGAAUGUGGAGAAAGGGCCAUCUUGGCGCAGCGUGGCCAAGACAUGCAUCCCUGCUAUACUCAAAUCACCCGAAAAACCACGCUCAGCAUAACAGGAUCUUCCUCCAGGUCUUCUGUGUGAAGCUUGAGCUUUAGUCAGAAGCAAAUCAGAAAGCAGCUUUCUUCAGCAGACUUCUGAGGGUCACGUGCCUAAGAAGGUGUUCAGUUUCCAAGCUGGAAAAGUAAAGUCAGCAGAAGAAGUGAGCACAGAAAUAUAAAUAAAGUCUACUUUGUUCCUGACUGGGAAGUUCUGGCGCUUGCCCAACUGUACGGCUUGCAGGCUGAGGGAACGUUACUACAGG